CUCAAUUAGUGAAGAUAGGUUUGGCAAUUGUGAUGAUGUCGAUGUUGUGUUUAUCUUGUGUGGCAGAGCAAGAACUAAUUGCCAUAGGUCAGUGCAUCAGCAACUGCGUCUCCCGAUGCCAAGGCUCACCAAAUUACAACCGGUGUUACAACGGUUGUGCCCGAGGUUGUGUGCCUGCUCUCACAACCGCCUUGGCCUCAUCCUCGGCCUAUUGCAACCUCGGUUGCUCCCUUUAUAAGUGUGUCAAUGUUGCCAAAGAUGCAAAAAAAUUUGAGAGUUGCUUGGAUGACUGCUAUAAGGUUCAAUGCAAAGCAUAGGCAUUGAUGCCCGUGACAAAGAUAUAGACGGAGAAAUGAAUAAUAAGCAUCAAAUUGUAAUUUAUUUUGAAAUCUUUGAAUCAAUUGAUGAUCCUUACUUGAUGUAAUUGCUAUUUUUUACCAA